AGGACGAACGCUGGCGGCGCGCUUAAUACAUGCAAGUCGAGCGAGAACCAGGGCUUCGGCCCUGGGGACAGCGGAGAACGGGUGAGUAACACGUGGGUAAUCAACCCCCGACACCGGGAUAGCCCAGGGAAACUUGGAUUAAUACCGGAUGCUCCAUCUGGCUUUCGAGCCGGCUGGAAAAGGGUAGCUUCGGCCUCCGGUCGGGGACGAGCCCGCGGCGGAUUAGCUUGUUGGUGAGGUAAAGGCUCACCAAGGCGACGAUCCGUAGCUGGUCUGAGAGGACGAUCAGCCACACUGGGACUGAGACACGGCCCAGACUCCUACGGAGGCAGCAGUGGGGAAUCUUGCGCAAUGGGCGAAAGCCUGACGCAGCGACGCCGCGUGGGGGAAGAAGGCUUUCGGGUUGUAAACCCCUUUCAGCAGGGACGAUAGUGACGGUACCUGCAGAAGAAGCACCGGCCAACUACGCGCCAGCAGCCGC
rnacentral:rRNA from 1 species